GACUUGCGCUGCUACCAUGCAAGUCGAGCGGUAAGGCCUUUCGGGGUACACGAGCGGCGAACGGGUGAGUAACACGUGGGUGAUCUGCCCUGCACUUCGGGAUAAGCCUGGGAAACUGGGUCUAAUACCGGAUAUGACCUCCUAUCGCAUGGUGGGUGGUGGAAAGAUUUAUCGGUGCAGGAUGGGCCCGCGGCCUAUCAGCUUGUUGGUGGGGUAAUGGCCUACCAAGGCGACGACGGGUAGCCGACCUGAGAGGGUGACCGGCCACACUGGGACUGAGACACGGCCCAGACUCCUACGGGAGGCAGCAGUGGGGAAUAUUGCACAAUGGGCGAAAGCCUGAUGCAGCGACGCCGCGUGAGGGAUGACGGCCUUCGGGUUGUAAACCUCUUUCAGCAGGGACGAAGCGCAAGUGACGGUACCUGCAGAAGAAGCACCGGCUAACUACAUGCCAGCAGCCGCGGUAAUACGUAGGGUGCAAGCGUUGUCCGGAAUUACUGGGCGUAAAGAGUUCGUAGGCGGUUUGUCGCGUCGUUUGUGAAAACCAGCAGCUCAACUGCUGGCUUGCAGGCGAUACGGGCAGACUUGAGUACUGCAGGGGAGACUGGAAUUCCUGGUGUAGCGGUGAAAUGCGCAGAUAUCAGGAGGAACACCGGUGGCGAAGGCGGGUCUCUGGGCAGUAACUGACGCUGAGGAACGAAAGCGUGGGUAGCGAACAGGAUUAGAUACCCUGGUAGUCCACGCCGUAAACGGUGGCGCUAGGUGUGGGUUCCUUCCACGGAAUCCGUGCCGUAGCUAACGCAUUAAGCGCCCCGCCUGGGGAGUACGGCCGCAAGGCUAAAACUCAAGGAAUUGACGGGGGCCCGCACAUGCGGCGGAGCAUGUGAUCACU
rnacentral:rRNA from 1 species